AAACAGGCUCCUUUGGCACCACCUACAGCCUCUAGUGAGAUUUGCAUAAAUCCACUGCUCCCUGUUCAAUAUCCUCCAAUCAGGGCUGGGUGGGUGUCUAACUGCGUGCCAAUCACUGCUCAGGCAAAUGCAUUCAUUCUCCCUCAUGGGGGGAGGGGCUUAGGAGACUGUUUGGACUUCAGCAGAAAGAGGGGGAGGGACUGAAAAGUUGUCAAUGUUCACAUUAUUCUGGC